UCAUGCUGGCGACCCGUGGGGCUCCUCCGCUGGGAAUCUCCUGGUCCUUGAGCAACAAAAAUUCGUCUGAAAGUGUGGCGUCCUCUCAUUCUCUGUGCUUUCACUGGGAGCUACAAUUUCAAGCUGCUCGUGAUCAGCCAUCUUGCAUCUCUCUCCAGAAAGAAGUAUUAAAAGGCAG